rnacentral:rRNA from 1 species
GACGAACGCUGGCGGCGUGCCUAAUACAUGCAAGUCGAGCGAGCUUGCCUAGAUGAAUUUGGUGCUUGCACUAAAUGAAACUAGAUACAAGCGAGCGGCGGACGGGUGAGUAACACGUGGGUAACCUGCCCAAGAGACUGGGAUAACACCUGGAAACAGAUGCUAAUACCGGAUAACAACACUAGACGCAUGUCUAGAGUUUAAAAGAUGGUUCUGCUAUCACUCUUGGAUGGACCUGCGGUGCAUUAGCUAGUUGGUAAGGUAACGGCUUACCAAGGCAAUGAUGCAUAGCCGAGUUGAGAGACUGAUCGGCCACAUUGGGACUGAGACACGGCCCAAACUCCUACGGGAGGCAGCAGUAGGGAAUCUUCCACAAUGGACGCAAGUCUGAUGGAGCAACGCCGCGUGAGUGAAGAAGGGUUUCGGCUCGUAAAGCUCUGUUGGUAGUGAAGAAAGAUAGAGGUAGUAACUGGCCUUUAUUUGACGGUAAUUACUUAGAAAGUCACGGCUAACUACGUGCCAGCAGCCGCGGUAAUACGUAGGUGGCAAGCGUUGUCCGGAUUUAUUGGGCGUAAAGCGAGUGCAGGCGGUUCAAUAAGUCUGAUGUGAAAGCCUUCGGCUCAACCGGAGAAUUGCAUCAGAAACUGUUGAACUUGAGUGCAGAAGAGGAGAGUGGAACUCCAUGUGUAGCGGUGGAAUGCGUAGAUAUAUGGAAGAACACCAGUGGCGAAGGCGGCUCUCUGGUCUGCAACUGACGCUGAGGCUCGAAAGCAUGGGUAGCGAACAGG